UGUAAGCAAAGUUUUGAAAUUAGGAGGUUUUGAUCUUGGCAAAUGGGCCACAAAUCAUCCGAGGCUUCUGGCGAGUAGAGGCGACAGAAAAGUCGCUUAUAUAUAUGUCUCUUCCGCUUCUAUAAAAACGUUGUAUGAUAUGGAAUCCUGAGAAUGAAUUCAUUAUACAAUGUAGGAUUUAUUUAAUUCAUUGCCACCAACUAUACGCAACAUUUUGUCCAUCGUAUCACGUUUGUUUGAUUCUUUGUGGUUGUUGUGCCCGUUAAUCACAAGAGCAAAAAUCUUGCUUCAGGACCUGUGGCGACAAAAAUUGGACUGGGAUGAAUCGGUGCCCAUGAAGAUGCGUACCAGCUGUAAUCAGUUGAAACCGAAUUUGCUAGAGGUAAACUAGAUUUCCAUACCUCGACAUGUCUGUUUGUCUGCUUAUGAAACUGUCCAGAUUCACGGAUGUGCUGAUUCAUGGAUUGAUGUCUAUAAAUAAUUUGUCGAGAUUGCUCACCGCCAAGACACGAGUGUCCCCCGUAAAAACAAAAUCAAUUCCAAGGCUGUAAUUGGGUGCAACUCAUCUUCUUUCCAGGUUAUGGGCUCAUGUAGCUCCGUUGCUCCGUAACAACGUUAAGUUGGAAAGCAUUACUUUCUUUUCGGAUUCGAAAGACACACCAAAUUGGUUAAAAAGAGAUCUAUUCACAAUAGCAACGUUCGUUAUAAAUAGGGAGUCUAAAAAUCCAAGAGCUCUCUGAGAAUGUUGUCUGACGGCAUGUGCCAACAAAGGAGAAUUCAGCUGAUUUGGUUUCACGUGGAACAGACAUAAAAGGUUUCAGCUGCACUCUGUGGGAAAAUGCUUCGAAGCCGCGACGAGUGUCCUAGUUUUCAUCUGAUUAAAGUAUCUCACGAUUUAAGGUUGUCCGAGAACAAGAAAAGUGUGGCCAACAUAACGUAGUUACCGAACUUAUUGGAAGAUGUUCGCCGUUUAAUAAACUACUUUGGAUCGUGGCAUACGUACAUUGGUUUAUUAAGAGGAAGAAACGUCUGCGUGAGAUGUUUAUUUCGAAAAAGGAACUGAUGGUAUCUUUUCUCAGGCUGGUCCAGACAAACGUGCCCGUUUUACAAAUCGAAAAACUUUUACGAAUUCAAAAACCAGAGCCUUUAAGAAAUGUUGGUGUAAAUGAUUCACAUCAUAUGAAAGGUACAUUUUGUUCGCAUAUUCACUUAAUUAACACAGAAAAUCGAAUACAAUUAAAAAUCUUUUCGAGAUUUACAAUUCUAUCAGAAUUUUGCGAUUGCGUAAGGUGUAGCCGUAUAACAGAAAAGUGCCGCUAGCUCAUGUUUUCCCCAGUGCGGAGUUUCCAACGCGCCACACAGCUCGCAACAUAAAAAUCGAUAAUUAUCGACGAUAAUUUGCACAUUUGCACUCACCCAACCUGGAAUGCCAGGAGGAUAGCAGAGAUCACCACUGAAGGUUAUGGUUGAAGGAUUUGAUGACUGCACAGAAAGCGGACGUAUGUAAAGACGUGUCGGGUCUCCUAAACCAGGGAAUAACACGGAACGUGUAGGGUCACCUAAACCUAAGGAGCUCUUAUGUCUAAGACAUAAGACGGGACGAGCAAACAAUACGUGAGCAUGUGUUGUAUUUGGCUGUCAGACUAACUAAGGAUUCGCGACACAAAUUUAGCGACAGCGGCACAACAACGACAAUUCGGGCUCGCAAUUCUGACUCCGCAUUGACAAACAAUGAUUAUUUGUCAGGACUAGCAGUAGUUGCUGACGGUUGUUAGAAGCAACAACGACGGUCGAAGCCUUAUGGAAUGGCCAGGAAUUCGCCGGGGGGGCAACACACAAAUCUUUAUAAUGUUAUUUGACUUUUAAUUAUUAGUUUAACAUAAUUUUAAACAUAAUAUUAGAAAAGCACACAAGUACCAUCUGUUUGUACAUAUCCUUUGGAUGCGCACCGAAGAAGACUUACUGUUUUAGUUAUAAAGUAAGAUUGAGUGAA